rnacentral:rRNA from 1 species
UGGGGAAUUUUGCGCAAUGGGGGAAACCCUGACGCAGCGACGCCGUGUGGGCGAUGAAGGCCUUCGGGUUGUAAAGCCCUGUGAGGUGGAAAGAAGGGUCCAGAGGUUAAUACCCUUUGGACUUUGACGGUACCACCAGAGGAAGCACCGGCUAACUCCGUGCCAGCAGCCGCGGUAAUACGGAGGGUGCAAGCGUUGUUCGGAAUUACUGGGCGUAAAGGGCGCGUAGGUGGUUGUGUAAGUCAGAUGUGAAAUCCUUAUGCUUAACCUGAGAACUGCAUCUGAUACUGCAUGACUCGAGUACAGCAGAGGGAAACGGAAUUCCUGGUGUAGAGGUGAAAUUCGUAGAUAUCAGGAGGAACACCGGUGGCGAAGGCGGUUCUCUGGCCUAGAACUGACGCUGAAGCGCGAAAGCGUGGGGAGCGAACA